GAUGAACGCUGGCGGCGUGCUUAACACAUGCAAGUCGAACGAAGCACUUUAUUUGAUUUCCUUCGGGACUGAUUAUUUUGUGACUGAGUGGCGGACGGGUGAGUAACGCGUGGGUAACCUGCCUUGUACAGGGGGAUAACAGUUGGAAACGGCUGCUAAUACCGCAUAAGCGCACGGCAUCGCAAGAUGCAGUGUGAAAAACUCCGGUGGUAUAAGAUGGACCCGCGUUGGAUUAGCUAGUUGGUGAGGUAACGGCCCACCAAGGCGACGAUCCAUAGCCGACCUGAGAGGGUGACCGGCCACAUUGGGACUGAGACACGGCCCAAACUCCUACGGGAGGCAGCAGUGGGGAAUAUUGCACAAUGGGCGAAAGCCUGAUGCAGCGACGCCGCGUGAGCGAAGAAGUAUUUCGGUAUGUAAAGCUCUAUCAGCAGGGAAGAUAAUGACGGUACCUGACUAAGAAGCACCGGCUAAAUACGUG
rnacentral:rRNA from 1 species